GGAGGAAUUCCCGAGUGGCCAAAGGGGGCAGACUGUAAAUCUGUUAGCUCAGCUUUCGAUGGUUCGAAUCCAUCUUCCUCCACCA
rnacentral:tRNA from 5 species